GUUUUUUAAAUUGACUCCGUAUCAGUUACAGAAUGUAUGUUGCGUGUAACGCAUAUUGUAUAACUUUCAGCAACGGAUCUCUUGGCUCUCGCAUCGAUGAAGAACACGGCGAAAUGUGAUAAGUAAUGUGAAUUGCAGAAUUCAGUGAAUCAUCGAAUCUUUGAACGCACCUUGCGCUCCUUGGUAUUCUGAGGAGCAUGCCUGUUUGAGUGUCAUGG
rnacentral:rRNA from 1 species